UACGUAGGGGGCGAGCGUUGUCCGGAAUUAUUGGGCGUAAAGCGCGCGCAGGCGGUUUCUUAAGUCUGAUGUGAAAACCCGUGGCUCAACCACGGAGGGUCAUUGGAAACUGGGAAGCUUGAGUGCAGAAGAGGAGAGUGGAAUUCCACGUGUAGCGGUGAAAUGCGUAGAUAUGUGGAGGAACACCAGUGGCGAAAGCGGCUCUCUGGUCUGUAACUGACGCUGAGGCGCGAAAGCGUGGGGAGCAAACGGG
rnacentral:rRNA from 1 species